GGCCAACUAGCUCAGGUGGUUAGAGCAUCAUGCUAAUAUCCCAGGUUCAGAAGAACUGAAAUAUUAAUGUGGUGGUCUGGGGUUCAAUCCCCAUGUUGGUCA
rnacentral:tRNA from 1 species